GGGUUGUGAGGUUAAGCGACUAAGCGUACACGGUGGAUGCCCUGGCAGUCAGAGGCGAUGAAGGACGUGCUAAUCUGCGAUAAGCGCCGGUAAGGUGAUAUGAACCGUUAUAACCGGCGAUUUCCGAAUGGGGAAACCCAGUGUGAUUCGUCACACUAUCAUUAACUGAAUCCAUAGGUUAAUGAGGCGAACCGGGGGAACUGAAACAUCUAAGUACCCCGAGGAAAAGAAAUCAACCGAGAUUCCCCCAGUAGCGGCGAGCGAACGGGGAGGAGCCCAGAGCCUGAAUCAGCAUGUGUGUUAGUGGAAGCGUCUGGAAAGGUGCGCGAUACAGGGUGACAGCCCCGUACACAAAAGCGCAUGUGCUGUGAGCUCGAUGAGUAGGGCGGGACACGUGGUAUCCUGUCUGAAUAUGGGGGGACCAUCCUCCAAGGCUAAAUACUCCUGACUGACCGAUAGUGAACCAGUACCGUGAGGGAAAGGCGAAAAGAACCCCGGCGAGGGGAGUGAAAAAGAACCUGAAACCGUGUACGUACAAGCAGUGGGAGCACAGGUUUACCUGUGUGACUGCGUACCUUUUGUAUAAUGGGUCAGCGACUUAUAUUCUGUAGCAAGGUUAACCGUAUAGGGGAGCCGUAGGGAAACCGAGUCUUAACCGGGCGUUAAGUUGCAGGGUAUAGACCCGAAACCCGGUGAUCUAGCCAUGGGCAGGUUGAAGGUUGGGUAACACUAACUGGAGGACCGAACCGACUAAUGUUGAAAAAUUAGCGGAUGACCUGUGGCUGGGGGUGAAAGGCCAAUCAAACCGGGAGAUAGCUGGUUCUCCCCGAAAGCUAUUUAGGUAGCGCCUCGUGAAUUCAUCUCCGGGGGUAGAGCACUGUUUCGGCUAGGGGGCCAUCCCGGCUUACCAACCCGAUGCAAACUGCGAAUACCGGAGAAUGUUAUCACGGGAGACACACGGCGGGUGCUAACGUCCGUCGUGAAGAGGGAAACAACCCAGACCGCCAGCUAAGGUCCCAAAGUCAUGGUUAAGUGGGAAACGAUGUGGGAAGGCCCAGACAGCCAGGAUGUUGGCUUAGAAGCAGCCAUCAUUUAAAGAAAGCGUAAUAGCUCACUGGUCGAGUCGGCCUGCGCGGAAGAUGUAACGGGGCUAAACCAUGCACCGAAGCUGCGGCAGCGACGCUGAUGCGUUGUUGGGUAGGGGAGCGUUCUGUAAGCCUGCGAAGGUGACCUGUGAGGGUUGCUGGAGGUAUCAGAAGUGCGAAUGCUGACAUAAGUAACGAUAAAGCGGGUGAAAAGCCCGCUCGCCGGAAGACCAAGGGUUCCUGUCCAACGUUAAUCGGGGCAGGGUGAGUCGACCCCUAAGGCGAGGCCGAAAGGCGUAGUCGAUGGGAAACGGGUUAAUAUUCCCGUACUUGGUGUUACUGCGAAGGGGGGACGGAGAAGGCUAUGUUGGCCGGGCGACGGUUGUCCCGGUUUAAGCGUGUAGGUGUGUGUUCCAGGUAAAUCCGGUUCACUUUAACACUGAGGCGUGAUGACGAGGCACUACGGUGCUGAAGCAACAAAUGCCCUGCUUCCAGGAAAAGCCUCUAAGCAUCAGGUAACAUCAAAUCGUACCCCAAACCGACACAGGUGGUCAGGUAGAGAAUACCAAGGCGCUUGAGAGAACUCGGGUGAAGGAACUAGGCAAAAUGGUGCCGUAACUUCGGGAGAAGGCACGCUGACACGUAGGUGAAGUGAUUUACUCACGGAGCUGAAGUCAGUCGAAGAUACCAGCUGGCUGCAACUGUUUAUUAAAAACACAGCACUGUGCAAACACGAAAGUGGACGUAUACGGUGUGACGCCUGCCCGGUGCCGGAAGGUUAAUUGAUGGGGUCAGCGCAAGCGAAGCUCCUGAUCGAAGCCCCGGUAAACGGCGGCCGUAACUAUAACGGUCCUAAGGUAGCGAAAUUCCUUGUCGGGUAAGUUCCGACCUGCACGAAUGGCGUAAUGAUGGCCAGGCUGUCUCCACCCGAGACUCAGUGAAAUUGAACUCGCUGUGAAGAUGCAGUGUACCCGCGGCAAGACGGAAAGACCCCGUGAACCUUUACUAUAGCUUGACACUGAACAUUGAGCCUUGAUGUGUAGGAUAGGUGGGAGGCUUUGAAGUGUGGACGCCAGUCUGCAUGGAGCCGACCUUGAAAUACCACCCUUUAAUGUUUGAUGUUCUAACGUGGACCCGUAAUCCGGGUUGCGGACAGUGUCUGGUGGGUAGUUUGACUGGGGCGGUCUCCUCCUAAAGAGUAACGGAGGAGCACGAAGGUUGGCUAAUCCUGGUCGGACAUCAGGAGGUUAGUGCAAUGGCAUAAGCCAGCUUGACUGCGAGCGUGACGGCGCGAGCAGGUGCGAAAGCAGGUCAUAGUGAUCCGGUGGUUCUGAAUGGAAGGGCCAUCGCUCAACGGAUAAAAGGUACUCCGGGGAUAACAGGCUGAUACCGCCCAAGAGUUCAUAUCGACGGCGGUGUUUGGCACCUCGAUGUCGGCUCAUCACAUCCUGGGGCUGAAGUAGGUCCCAAGGGUAUGGCUGUUCGCCAUUUAAAGUGGUACGCGAGCUGGGUUUAGAACGUCGUGAGACAGUUCGGUCCCUAUCUGCCGUGGGCGCUGGAGAACUGAGGGGGGCUGCUCCUAGUACGAGAGGACCGGAGUGGACGCAUCACUGGUGUUCGGGUUGUCAUGCCAAUGGCACUGCCCGGUAGCUAAAUGCGGAAGAGAUAAGUGCUGAAAGCAUCUAAGCACGAAACUUGCCCCGAGAUGAGUUCUCCCUGAGACUUAGAGUCUCCUGAAGGAACGUUGAAGACGACGACGUUGAUAGGCCGGGUGUGUAAGCGCAGCGAUGCGUUGAGCUAACCGGUACUAAUGAACCGUGAGGCUUAACCUUACAACGCCGAAG
rnacentral:rRNA from 1 species